UACAGAGGGGGCAAGCGUUGUUCGGAAUUACUGGGCGUAAAGGGCGCGUAGGCGGCCUGCUAAGUCGAACGUGAAAUCCCCGGGCUCAACCCGGGAACUGCGUCCGAGACUGACAGGCUUGAAUCCGGGAGAGGGAUGUGGAAUUCCAGGUGUAGCGGUGAAAUGCGUAGAUAUCUGGAGGAACACCGGUGGCGAAGGCGGCAUCCUGGACCGAUAUUGACGCUGAUGCGCGAAAGCCAGGGGAGCAAACGGG
rnacentral:rRNA from 1 species